GGACCUUACAGAGAAGGUAAACAGUGAGAAAUGAAAACUCAGGAGCAGGUGGGGAAGGACAGUCACAGAGUAAGCAGAGCCAAGCUGCACAAGAAGACUGUCAGAGAGCUGAGCUGCCAAGAAGACUCAGACUGGACCAGCUGCCCAGACGAAGCAAAAACUAGCCAAGCUGGCUGGAAGAGGUUUAGACCAGUUUGUGAGCCGUCAGCCAUGCUGAGUGCGUUUUGGUGAUGCAGCUGUCUUUGGUUACUUCUGCUCCUGUAAGUAACACCAAUAAAACUCCAUAUUGGACUUUUGUGUGUCUAUCUGAGAGAUCCAGCUGCCUCUGCCUCCCCAGUACGUGGGACACCACCACCCAUCCCAAGAGUAUUUCUCUUAAGAUUAGAAGCUGCCACCUGGAAGUUCUUCUGGAAGCAUAGCAAUGCAGUCCAUCAAGAGAUAACAGCUGUGCAGCUAAGACGUGCAAAGACACUAACGUGUCCGACAAGAUCACGGAUCUGUAAAAAAAUCUAGAUGACAAUCCAUAAACUGACUCAAGCAAGAAAAUGAGUCAGCAGCUUAGCGGGCAACAUGCUACAAUAAACACACCGGCAUCUUUAUGCUACAGAGUAGCCAGCUAGAUGAUCCAUUUACAAUGGCAACAGAGAAGAUGAACUAUCUCGGGGCAAAUGAGAUCCAGAAACACACAGAGCCACCAUGAGGAAAACAUUUUGAAAACUCAAAAAGAGCUCAUUAGCAUGGGAUAUGAGGAUGACGUCAUUUUCCUUCCAUACCAUGACUGGAGGCAGAAAGCUGUGACUCUUCCCAAGUUACUUUAUUAA
rnacentral:sRNA from 1 species